CCGAAGCUUACUUAUGCCGGAGAGUUCUGAUGAAUCACCAAAGAAAAGAAAAACUCAAAUUUCUAAUAGUGGCCUGGGUGCAGUGUAUUCGAAUUAUCAACAGUGCUCCUCAAAUAAAGAAAAUAAAAGAAAAAGAUUUUACUUUCUAUGAGUACACACAGUAUCUUCAAGCAGAACAAUGGAUAUUGAUCAGACCAGACAGUCUGGAGAAUUUACCAUGGAUAGAAGUAACAAAAGUGACAGCAACACAUUCGAUUGGUUUAAUGGAUAUUUUGGGCAGGAGUAGCAGACUGGUACAUUGAUUCCAAAAUCUUGAACAAAUAACAACUGAACACAUUCUUGUCUCUUUUAAGUGGGAUAAUGUUAAUCUUUAAAAAAUGCCAGCACAAUUGAAAUUAAUAUGGGAUAGUUGAAAGAAGAAAUUUCAAAAUGAUACAUAUUAUCACAAUGUUGUAUUUAGACAACCUCUAUUUUUGUGAAACAGUUUUUUUUAAAAACUUUAAAUACUGUGAUGAUCUACAAAACAUUAUUAAAAGAUGAACAUGCAGGUCUCAAGUGUGAUCCAGUUUUUAACCGCUUUUCGCUUGAAAAAAAAAUCAAGCUUUUUUAAAUUUAUGAAGUGACAACAAUUGUUUCUACUGGAUUUACAUUGAAUAAAUAAUAUUAUCCAGACAUUAAAAUAUUUUCAUUUUUUCGCAAUGUUUUUAUCAAAUUUUUUUAACCUUUCUAAGUCAGACUUCUUGAUGCUUCUAGUUGUUACACACUACAUUUAAAACAUUGUCACAUUUCAUAUGAUAUAUUCUGGCUUUCAUUGUAUUUUGUGUUUUUUGUUUUUUGGUGAAAUUGCAAAUUGUGUUCUUACCAAUGAAACUUAACAGUUAAUUGUGCUUGAUUUUUUUUUCUUAAACAAUGAAAAACCCUUUUAAUUAAAAAUUAAUAUGUUAAGGGAAAGUUUGGAACUAUUUGAUUUGAUUACCAUUGAGACAGCUUUCCACGAAAGUUCAAAUGAUGUAACCGUAGGCAUACGACAUUUCAAGGACAUGAGAAAAAGCCAUACUGUAUAGUCAUCUAUAAAAGACCCCGAUAAUAAACACCAAUUCAAUUGAGAAGAAUAACGGCCUAAUUUAUUACAAUUUACGAAAAACAAUAUGACAGACAUGAACCAACAACAACCACUGAACAACAGGCUCCUGACUUGGGACAGUCACAUAACGGAGGUGGCAGGGUGAAACAUGUUUGUGAUCGCUCAACCCUCUCCCAGCCUGGGACAGUGGUGUAACAGCACAACAUAAGAAUAAGCAUUUAUUUAGUACAGUAUUAUUUUAAAACAACAGCUUUCAAAAAUUCACUUAAUUUUGAUGGCAAGUAUUAGUAACCAAUCAAUAUAUAAAGAGAUAUGAAUCACCUGUGUGCAAUUUUGAUAGAUAUAUAUUAUGCAAAUGUUGAAAUUUAAAUUACAAUACUUAAAUGACUACUUACCCAUUUUUCAUCAGUAUUCUGAUAUAUUAAAGUAUAGAAAUUGACCCUAUGUAAAAGUUUCAAAGUCAAUGAAUCAUGACUGGGGGAGGGAAAAUGAUCAUUUUGGAGAUGAGAUGUGCAAAAUCUAGUACAACUGCACAUCUAAUGUAAUAACCGUUAAUGUUCAGCCUUAAACUGACCAAAUCACAAACAUAAACCUGUAAACUAACUAUGCAUUUUCGAAAUCAAUAGACAGUGAUUGGGGAGGGAUAAUCGCCAUGGAAAUAAUUUCCAGUGUCUUUUUAUAAAUGGUUACUAGAGUGACAUCCCUUAAUUAUUCCCCUUCUGACUGAACUAAAUAGCAAUACACAUUGCUAUGAGUUGAUGCUCUAUUGAAUAUAAAUGUGUAAACCUAAUUUUGUGAUUGAAUUCAGUCAUAAUAUUUUUUUUACUGCUGCAGAACUGGUCUUUUCAACAAAUAUUUCCUGAAUUUGUAUUGACUGAAUUCAGUCAUCUGUAUUAUAGAUGUGUAUACUAUGUAAAAUCACACUUGGUGUAAUUUAAGUCUUAGAAAACACUCUAAUUUAGUACAAUUUCUUGUAGCUUCUAUCAAAUGCUGUGUGACUGAAUUCAGUCACCAUUUUGUGAAAAUAAUGAACAGGAUAAAGAGUUAAUUUCAUUUAGCUGUUAUCCUGUUAUAUGUUGCUUGUAUUAAUCUAUAAUCCGAAUUCUGUUUCAUCUGAAUUAACAGGAAUAGGUAUUAGUUAAGAAGCAACAAGUACAAAUGUAUUUGAUAGAUAUUUUACGAAUAAAAUGGUAAUGUUACUUUCUAUUGUACUUAUUGAAUUAUGUUAUAUGAAGAUGCAAUCAGGUGACUGAAUUCAGUCACUCAAAAAAUUAUCACCGUACAAUGCUAUUUUAUUUUUUGUAAGUUGAUCAUAUUAAUGGGGUCAUUAAUAUGAAUAUAUUCUGUGUUGACGUUUUCAUCCAUUUUAAAUAAAAUGCGCAUUGCA